UGUGUAGGCGGUUUCUAAGUUCGGUGUGAAAUCUCCCGGCUUAACUGGGAGGGUGCGCCGGAAACUGGAAGGCUUGAGUAUGGGAGAGGAAGGCGGAAUUCCUGGUGUAGCGGUGAAAUGCGUAGAUAUCAGGAGGAACACCUGCGGUGUAGACAGCUUUCUGGACCAUCACUGACGCUGAGACACGAAAGCGUGGGUAGCAAACAGGAUUAGAUACCCUGGUAGUCCACGCCCUAAACGAUGCAUACUUGGUGUGAGCCGUUCAGUCGGUUCGUGCCGGAGCUAACGCGUUAAGUAUGCCGCCUGGGGAGUACGGUCGCAAGGCUGAA
rnacentral:rRNA from 1 species